AGCAGCCGCGGUAAUUCCAGCUCCAAUAGCGUAUAUUAAAGUUGUUGCAGUUAAAAAGCUCGUAGUUGAAUUUCGGGAUCAGUUGAUCGGUCGUGCCUCGGUACGUACUGGUCAAAUUGAUUCCUACCUUCUGACGAACCACGAUGUCAUUAAUUUGGUGUCGUGGGAAAUCAGGACUGUUACUUUGAAAAAAUUAGAGUGUUUAAAGCAGGCUCGCGCUUGAAUACAUUAGCAUGGAAUAAUGAAAUAGGACGUUUGAUUCUAUUUUGUUGGUUUCUAGGAUCGACGUAAUGAUUAAUAGGGAUAGUUGGGGGCAUUAGUAUUCAAUUGUCAGAGGUGAAAUUCUUGGAUUUAUUGAAGACUAACUACUGCGAAAGCAUUUGCCAAGGAUGUUUUCAUUAAUCAAGAACGAAAGUUAGGGGAUCGAAGACGAUCAGAUACCGUCGUAGUCUUAACCAUAAACUAUGCCGACUAGGGAUCGGAUGAUGUUAAUUUUAAUGACUCAUUCGGCGCCUUAAC
rnacentral:rRNA from 1 species